AUGAACGCUAGCGGCAGGCUUAACACAUGCAAGUCGAGGGGCAACACGGGUAGCAAUACCUGGUGGCGACCGGCGCAAGGGUGCGUAACGCGUGAGCAACAUGCCCUAUACAGGGGGAUAAUCCAGGGAAACUUGGUCUAAUAUCCCAUAGUAUUUAGAGGUGGCAUCACCACUAAAUUAAAGCUUCGGUGGUAUAGGAUUGGCUCGCGUGACAUUAGCUUGAUGGUGGGGUAACGGCUCACCAUGGCGAUGAUGUCUAGGGGUUCUGAGAGGAAGACCCCCCACACUGGGACUGAGACACGGCCCAGACUCCUACGGGAGGCAGCAGUGAGGAAUAUUGGACAAUGGAUGGAAAUCUGAUCCAGCCAUGCCGCGUGCAGGAAGACGGCCCUAUGGGUUGUAAACUGCUUUUAUAUGGGAGCAAUAAGGUUUACGCGUAGACCGAUGAGAGUACCAUAUGAAUAAGCAUCGGCUAACUCCGUG
rnacentral:rRNA from 1 species